GAUUUGGCGGACGGGUGAGUAACACGUGGGUAACCUGCCUGUAAGACUGGGAUAACUCCGGGAAACCGGGGCUAAUACCGGAUGCUUGUUUGAACCGCAUGGUUCAAACAUAAAAGGUGGCUUCAGCUACCACUUACAGAUGGACCCGCGGCGCAUUAGCUAGUUGGUGAGGUAACGGCUCACCAAGGCAACGAUGCGUAGCCGACCUGAGAGGGUGAUCGGCCACACUGGGACUGAGACACGGCCCAGACUCCUACGGGAGGCAGCAGUAGGGAAUCUUCCGCAAUGGACGAAAGUCUGACGGAGCAACGCCGCGUGAGUGAUGAAGGUUUUCGGAUCGUAAAGCUCUGUUGUUAGGGAAGAACAAGUACCGUUCGAAUAGGGCGGUACCUUGACGGUACCUAACCGGAAAGCCACGGCUAACUACGUGCCAGCAGCCGCGGUAAUAAU
rnacentral:rRNA from 1 species